GAUGAAGAACGUAGCGAAAUGCGAUAAGUAAUGUGAAUUGCAGAAUUCAGUGAAUCAUCGAAUCUUUGAACGCACAUUGCGCCCCCUGGUAUUCCGGGGGGCAUGCCCGUUCGAGCGUCAUUUCACCACUCAAGCCUCGCUUGGUAUUGGGCAACGCGGUCCGCCGCGUGCCUCAAAUCGUCCGGCUGGGUCUUCUGUCCCCCAAGCGUUGUGGAAACUAUUCGCUAAAGGGUGUUCGGGAGGCUACGCCGUAAAACAACCCCAUUUCUAAGGUUGACCUCGGAUCAGGUAGGGAUACCCGCUGAACUUAAGCAUAUCAUAAGCGGAGGA
rnacentral:misc_RNA from 1 species